GAUGAACGCUGGCGGCGUGCCUAAUACAUGCAAGUCGAGCGAACUGAUUAGAAGCUUGCUUCUAUGACGUUAGCGGCGGACGGGUGAGUAACACGUGGGCAACCUGCCUGUAAGACUGGGAUAACUUCGGGAAACCGAAGCUAAUACCGGAUAGGAUCUUCUCCCUCAUGGGAGAUGAUUGAAAGAUGGUUUCGGCUAUCACUUACAGAUGGGCCCGCGGUGCAUUAGCUAGUUGGUGAGGUAACGGCUCACCAAGGCAACGAUGCGUAGCCGACCUGAGAGGGUGAUCGGCCACACUGGGACUGAGACACGGCCCAGACUCCUACGGGAGGCAGCAGUAGGGAAUCUUCCGCAAUGGACGAAAGUCUGACGGAGCAACGCCGCGUGAGUGAUGAAGGCUUUCGGGUCGUAAAACUCUGUUGUUAGGGAAGAACAAGUACGAGAGUAACUGCUCGUACCUUGACGGUACCUAACCAGAAAGCCACGGCUAACUACGUGCCAGCCGCCGCGGUAAAAC
rnacentral:rRNA from 1 species